rnacentral:tRNA from 1 species
GCCCCUGUAGCGCAGUGGAUAGCGCGUCGAUUUCCUAAAGGAAAAGAAAAUAGUCGAAGGUCUCGGGUUCGAAUCCCGACUGGGGUG